rnacentral:rRNA from 1 species
AAUGAACGCUGGCGGCGUGGUUAAGACAUGCAAGUCGAACGGUUUUUUCAGGUGUAGCAAUACAUUUGAAGAGCAGUGGCGAACGGGUGCGUAACACGUGAACAAUCUACCUUUUAGUGUGGAAUAGCUCGGCGAAAGCCGGAUUAAUACCGCAUGUGGUUGCUUCUCGCAUGAGAGGCAUACCAAAGUCAGGGACCNCAAGGCCUGACGCUAUUAGAGGAGUUCGCGGCCUAUCAGCUAGUUGGCGAGGUAACGCUCACCAAGGCUAAGACGGUAGCUGAUCUGAGAGGAUGAU